GAAAGUGUCGACCUAUAUUGGCUAUAUAUAUAUACAUCACCAAUUCACCACCCUAGAAUAUCUAGAUUACAUAAAUUGCAUACAUUCAACAGGUUGGUGUCAUCUUCUGCUAAACGUGUGAAGAGGAUUAUUAAGUGCUAGGUCUUACACUCAUUGGUGAAACGUGAAACUAUGUAUGAUGAAGAGGCUACCUCAGAGAUUAAUUACCCAGAAAUUGUGGUUCGAUUUGGUAAAGAGAGUGUGUUAAUUAGAAUUUCUUGUAAGAUGCAAAAGAGUUUCGUGACAAAAAUUAUCAGUGAGAUUGAAAAUCGUCCUCUCUCCAUUACCAACAUCAAUGUUAUGCCAUUCGAUGGUAUCAUUUCUGAAAUUAACAUUGGUGCUCAGAUUGAAGCAGAUUUAAAUAUGAGUGAGCAAGAUUUUGUAACCCUUCUUCAUUCGAUUAUUCAGUAGCAAAUUGAUCUGGCUUUUAGUCAAGCAUGUAUUCCUGAUUUUCGUAUGCGAUUUUACAAUUUUAAUGGAUCAUUUGAUAGGUGAUGAUAAUUAAUGUGAUAAAUUAUUUAUGAUUUA